GGAAUAUUGGACAAUGGGGGCAACCCUGAUCCAGCAAUGCCGCGUGUGUGAAGAAGGCCUGCGGGUUGUAAAGCACUUUCAGUGGGGAGGAAAAACCCUGGGUGAAUAGCUCAGGGUGUUGACGUUACCCAUAGAAGAAGCACCGGCUAACUCCGUGCCAGCAGCCGUGGUAAUACAGAGGGUGCAAGCGUUCAUCGGAAUUACUGGGCGUAAAGCGCGCGUAGGUGGUUGGUUAAGUUGGAUGUGAAAGCCCCGGGCUCAACCUGGGAACUGCAUCCAAAACUGGCCGACUAGAGUACAGUAGAGGGUGGUGGAAUUUCCUGUGUAGCGGUGAAAUGCGUAGAUAUAGGAAGGAACACCAGUGGCGAAGGCGACCACCUGGACUGAUACUGACACUGAGGUGCGAAAGCGUAGGGAGCAAAC
rnacentral:rRNA from 1 species